rnacentral:rRNA from 1 species
AACGAACGCUGGCGGCACGUUUUAAGCAUGCAAGUCGAAUGGCAGCAGGGGCAACUCUGUGAGAAUGGCGAACGGGUGAGUAACACGUAGGUGAUCUGCCUUGAGGAUGGGGAUAGCCUGUGGAAACACAGGGUAAUACCGAAUGAGCUGACGAGACUUUGGUUUUGUUAGUAAAGGUGCUACGGCACCGCCUUGAGAGGAGCCUGCGGCUGAUUAGCCAGUUGGUGGGGUAAGAGCUUACCAAGGCGACGAUCAGUAGCCGGCCUGCGAGGGUGUACGGCCACACGGGAACUGAGACACGGUCCAGACUCCUACGGGAGGCAGCAGCUAAGAAUCUUCCGCAAUGGGCGAAAGCCUGACGGAGCGAUGCCGCGUGAUCGAUGAAGGUCGAGAGAUUGUAAAGAUCUUUUCUACAUGAGGAAUAAGUCUGGGAGGGAAUGCCCGGAUGAUGACGUUAGUGUAGGAAUAAGCCCCGGCUAAUUACGUGCCAGCCGCCGCGGUAA